rnacentral:rRNA from 1 species
AACAAACGCUGGCGGCGUGCCUAAUACAUGCAAGUCGAACGAGGAAAGCUUUCGGGUGAGUACUAGUGGCGCACGGGUGAGGAAUAUAUGGGUAAUCUGCCCUCGAGUUGGGGAUAACCUGUCGAAAGACUGGCUAAUACCGAAUAAGACCACAGGAUCUGCGGAUCUAGGGGUUAAAGGUUUUUCGCUUGAGGAUGAGCCCAUACGGGAUUAGCUAGUUGGCGAGGUAAUGGCUCACCAAGGCUACGAUCCCUAACUGGUCUUAGAGGAUGAUCGGUCACACUGGAACUGAGACACGGUCCAGACUCCUACGGGAGGCAGCAGUAGGGAAUAUUGCACAAUGGGAGAAACCCUGAUGCAGCGACGCCGCGUGAGUGAUGAAGGCCUUCGGGUCGUAAAGCUCUGUCGUAUGGGACUAACACAAUGAAGGUACCAUGCAAGAAAGGAUCGGCUAACUUCGUGCCAGCAGCCGCAGUAA